UGUCUCUAUCUGUUGCCGACUUGUUCAUCCCAAGCGCUUAGUACAGUGCUCUGCACAUAGUAAGCGCUCAAUAAAUACUAUUGAAUGAAUGAAUGAAUGAACCCGCGAGCUUCUGACUCCCAGGCCCACGCUCUAUCCAUUAUUCAAUUGUAUUUAUUGAGUGCUUACUGAGUGCAGAGCACUGAACUAAGCGCUUGGAAAGUAUAAUUCAUCAACUAAUAGAGACAAUCCCUACCCAACAAUGGGCUCAGAGAUGAGAUGAGAACCAGGCACACUAGGAGAGCUGAGCUAGAAAGCUGAAAAGUAACAAAGAGUGUGAGCUGGGGUGUAGUGGAGAAGAGAGUGGAUAAAUAAGAGUAUUUGUUCUCAGAGGGCAUUUUUUUAAACACAUUUCUCAUCAAUAAAUCAGUAAUAUCUGUUGAGCACCUACUGUAGCCAGAGCACUGUACUAAGCAUUUGGGAACAUACAGUGGAGUCGGUGGAUACGAUCCCUCCCUCGAAGCAGUAAGUAUUCAUCUGGGGAGACAGGAACUCAAAUAGUGAACCGAUGGGAGAGAGCUGGUCAAGAGCCUCGAAGUCAACCGUAAGGAGUUUUCACUAGCUGUCAAGGGAGAUGGACAGCCAUUAAUAGCUUUGAGAAGUGGAGAAUCCUCAACUGAACAGUGUUUCAGGAAGAAAAUCUGUGUUGAGCAUGGACUGAAAGGGGCCGGAUGCUGGAGGUAGGGAGAUUAGUGGGGAGGCUGAUAUGGUAGUCUUCUGGCGACACAAUCAGUGAUUGAACCAGUGUGGUGGCUGUCUGGGUGAAGAAGGGACAGAACUGGGAAAUAUGGCAAAGGAAAAAUCAGCAUUAUCUAGCAGCUAAGUGAAUUUGAGAGUUAAAAGACAGCAAGAAGUCCAGGGAGACACCCAGGGGUCACACAAAGAGUGUGGAACUCCAGCCAGCCCUGGAGAAUCUAACUCCUCUCUGCUUCACCUAAUUGCUGCUGGCAAUUUGAGGUCCGUUGUAAUUGGACAAAGGAAACUGGGAAGAAGAGUUUGCAAUAGCCACACUGCUUCACUGGGCACCUGAAGUAGAGCCCCCAUUCUGCAGUCCGGGAAACACCCAGAGAGGAAGAUGGAUUUACCUCUCCUUCCACAGUAGGGCAAUAGCAAAGUGAGAAAGAACCCCCAGGAGUCCAUCUGCUAAUCU
rnacentral:lncRNA from 1 species